rnacentral:rRNA from 1 species
GAACGCGAAGAACCUUACCUGGGCUUGACAUCCCGGGAAUCCCCUGGAAACAGGGGAGUGCCCUUCGGGGAACCCGGAGACAGGUGCUGCAUGGCUGUCGUCAGCUCGUGUCGUGAGAUGUUGGGUUAAGUCCCGCAACGAGCGCAACCCUUGCUAUUAGUUGCUAACAAGUUAAGUUGAGCACUCUAAUGGGACUGCCGGUGACAAGCCGGAGGAGGGUGGGGAUGACGUCAAAUCAUCAUGCCCUUUAUGAUCUGGGCUACACACGUGCUACAAUGGGCGGUACAAAGGGAAGCUAAGUCGUGAGGCGGAGCGGAUCCCAAAAAGCCGUUCUCAGUUCGGAUUGCAGGCUGCAACUCGCCUGCAUGAAGUCGGAAUCGCUAGUAAUCGCGAAUCAGCACGUCGCGGUGAAUACGUUCCCGGGUCUUGUACACACCG